rnacentral:rRNA from 1 species
UCCUGGCUCAGAUUGAACGCUGGCGGCAUGCCUUACACAUGCAAGUCGAACGGUAACAGGUCUUCGGAUGCUGACGAGUGGCGAACGGGUGAGUAAUACAUCGGAACGUGCCCAGACGUGGGGGAUAACGAGGCGAAAGCUUUGCUAAUACCGCAUACGAUCUAAGGAUGAAAGCAGGGGACCGCAAGGCCUUGCGCGUUUGGAGCGGCCGAUGGCAGAUUAGGUAGUUGGUGGGAUAAAAGCUUACCAAGCCGACGAUCUGUAGCUGGUCUGAGAGGACGACCAGCCACACUGGGACUGAGACACGGCCCAGACUCCUACGGGAGGCAGCAGUGGGGAAUUUUGGACAAUGGGCGCAAGCCUGAUCCAGCAAUGCCGCGUGCAGGAUGAAGGCCUUCGGGUUGUAAACUGCUUUUGUACGGAACGAAAAGGCUCUGGCUAAUACCUGGGGCACAUGACGGUACCGUAAGAAUAAGCACCGGCUAACUAC